UGAUGCAUGAGUAACUAUGUGAAAUAUAGUUCGAGGAGGUGCACGUAUUGUACAAGAUUAUCCAAGAUACAAAGUCAAAUGGAAGAACGAUAUGGCUAGAAUAAAAUACUAUAUAACAGUUCAUUGAUUACUUCCACUUCUAUAUACUACUUGCUUAAAAAUAUGAUUAUAUAACGAAUGAGGGUUAUAGAAACAAUCAUUACACCUCUUGCAUAUACAUAUAAGCUCUUUUUGUUCUCGUGGAACAAGCGUUAUUAAAAAACGAACGAUCAUUACAUCUCAUAGAUAAAUAUUUAAAAAUGAUGAUUAAGAAAGAAAACCAGCAUACAUUCAGAAAUAAAGAAAAUCAUCGAGAAACAAGUGUGAACAAAAAGUUAUUGAAAAGAAACGUUUCAAAACAGGUGUCGCUCCACCAACGUGCCCAGCGUCGCAGAAAACGCAGUCUCCAAAAGGUCCACUCCCUCCUCUCCAAUUUUGAAGAAUAAGAAAUCAUCCGGCGAUUCGGCGUAUUGACUAGAUAACUUGUAUCGAGCCUCCUUCGUCCUAUCCACUCUCCAACCGAACAAUUGGUAACAAGCUUGUCGGUAUUCUUGCGACGAUGCUUUGAAGGCUUCCUUGAGACGAGCUAUUUUAAUCUCGUGUGUCUGUUUGAGUUCCGCUAUUU
rnacentral:misc_RNA from 1 species